AGUGAACGCUGGCGGUAGGCCUAACACAUGCAAGUCGAACGGCAGCACAGUAAGAGCUUGCUCUUACGGGUGGCGAGUGGCGGACGGGUGAGGAAUACAUCGGAAUCUACUUUUUCGUGGGGGCUAACGUAGGGAAACUUACGCUAAUCCCGCAUACGUCCUACGGGUGUAAGCAGGGGUUCUUCGGACCUUGCGCGAUUGUAUGAGCCGAUAUCGGAUUAGCUCGUUUGCGGGGUAAAGGCACACCAAGGCGACGCUCCGUAGCUGGUCUGAGCGGAUGGACAGCCACACGGGAACUGAGAAACAGUACAGACUCCGACGGGAGGCAGCAGUGGAGAAUAUUGGACGAGGGGCGCAAGCCUGAUCCAGCCAUACCGCGUGGGUGAAGAAGGCGUACGGGUUGUAGAGCGCUUAAGGUGGGAGAGAAAAACAGCAGGUUAAUACCCCGCGGUACUGACGGUACCCAAAGAAUAAGCACCGGCUAACUUCGUG
rnacentral:rRNA from 1 species